GUGCCAGCAGCCGCGGUAAUACGUAGGUGGCAAGCGUUGUCCGGAUUUACUGGGCGUAAAGGAUGCGUAGGCGGAUACUUAAGUCAGAUGUGAAAAUCCCGAGCUUAACUUGGGAACUGCAUUUGAAACUGGGUAUCUAGAGUGUGGGAGAGGAAAGUGGAAUUCCUAGUGUAGCGGUGAAAUGCGUAGAGAUUAGGAAGAACACCAGUGGCGAAGGCGACUUUCUGGACCAUAACUGACGCUGAGGCAUGAAAGCGUGGGGAGCAAACAGGAUUAGAUACCCCAGUAGUCC
rnacentral:rRNA from 1 species